rnacentral:rRNA from 1 species
GAUGAACGCUAGCGGCAGGCUUAACACGUGCAAGUCGAGGGGCAGCGAGGGUAGCAAUACCUGUCGGCGACCGGCGCAAGGGUGCGUAACGCGUGAGCAACAUGCCCGUAUCAGGGGGAUAAUCCAGGGAAACUUGGUCUAAUACCGCAUAAUGAUCCUUUGAGGCAUCUUUAAGGAUUUAAAAUUUCGGUGGAUACGGAUUGGCUCGCGUGACAUUAGCUGGAUGGUGGGGUAACGGCCUACCAUGGCUACGAUGUCUAGGGGUUCUGAGAGGAAGGUCCCCCACACUGGAACUGAGACACGGUCCAGACUCCUACGGGAGGCAGCAGUGAGGAAUAUUGGACAAUGGAUGGAAAUCUGAUCCAGCCAUGCCGCGUGCAGGAAGACGGCCCUAUGGGUUGUAAACUGCUUUUGUAUGGGAGCAAUAAGGGUUACGUGUAGCCUGAUGAGAGUACCAUACGAAUAAGGACCGGCUAACUCCGUGCCAGCCGCCGCGGUAAGAC